GGGGUCUGGACACAGAGAAUGGCCGACACCCUGUUUCCUGGCAACUGAUGGCCUGGGCCCUUCCCCCCCUGCAAGGUGAGAGCUGAAGGGCUGGAGAACAAAGGAAUCAGGUGACCACCUGGCCCGGGAAAGGAACAAAGCCCAGAGGAGGAGGGGCUGGAGGGAGUUUCAGUUUGGGGCUGGCUGGAGACAUGGAGUGAAGGGCAGACGUGGUUGUCUGGCUCACUGCCCCCCAAAAUGGACCCGGCUGAGGGGUCCCGUUCUCUGCACCUGCAAGCUCUGUUUUAGACCAUGUUCCUGUCGUCUAAUAAACCUUCUGUUUUA